rnacentral:lncRNA from 1 species
UGUCCGGAGAGUAGUAGGGAGACGUGGUUAAUGUUGUACUCGACUGGAUCUCGCGUUAUCAGGAUAGCCGCAGUUCGGCGAGAACUCUAUAAAGGGGACUCAUUAUGGGGGGACCCAAACUAAGCCCCCUCCCCAUAUUUAUGUAGUGUCCAAAGCACAAUUUAAGCCCCCCCCCCCCAAUUAAAAGAGGGGAGUGUGGUACCCCCAGUGCCCCCCAUAUUUGGGGGUAUUAUGGGGGUAUUAUGGGGGUCUUAUGGGGAGUCUUAUGGGGGUAUUAUGGGGUGGGGGUCCCCUACAAACAAGGCUGAUAUUGGGGGGGUCCCAAACUCCCCCCCCCCCAAUUAAAACAGGGGUGCCUCGUACCCCCAGUGCCCCCCAUAUUUGGGGGUCUUAUGGGGAUAUUAUGGGGUGGGUGUCCCCUACAAACAAGGCUGAUAUUGGGGGGCUCCCAAACUCCCCCCCCCAAUUAAAACAGAGGUGCCUGGUACCCCCGUUGCCCCCCAUAUUUGGGGGUAUUACGGGGGUCUUAUGGGGGUCUUAUGGGGGUCUUGUGGGCAUAUUAUGGGGUGGGGGUCCCCUACAAACAAGGCUGAUAUUGGGGGGGUCCCAAACUCCCCCCCCCCAAUUAAAACAGAGGUGCCUGGUACCCCUGUUGCCCCCCAUAUUUGGGGCUAUUAUGGGGGUCUUAUGGGGCUAUUAUAGGGAUAUUAUGGGGUGGGGGUCCCCUACAAACAAGGCUGACAUUGGGGGGGUCCCAAACUCCCCCCCCCCAAUUAAAACAGAGGUGCCUGAUACCCCCGUUGCCCCCCGUACCUGGGGGUCAGCGCCCCUGCGUAGCUGAUGGAGUGGGGCAGCCCGGGGGGGGGGGGCUCUCGGCGCCGUGUGUGUUGUGGGGGGGGCCAGGCCGGGGGCUGCGGCCUCGUUGUGGUUGUUGUAUUUGGGGGGGGGGCGUUGUGUGGCCCCCCCGUGUGCCGCAGGUACCAAUCCCGCAGCCCCUCCAGCGCCAUCCACUUCUGGCUGCGCCGCUGCUCGGCCGAGGGGGGGGGGGCGCAGCGUCCCCAGCCCCCCUAGGACCCCUUUAGACCCCCCCCAUCGCCCCACAGACCCCUUUAGGACCCCUCUUAGCCCCCCAUAGACCCCCUUUAGCCCCACAUAGACCCCCUUUAUCCCCCCAUAGACCCCUUUAUCCCCCCAUAGACCCCCUUUAUCCCCCCAUAGACCCCCUUUAUCCCCCCACAGACCCCUUUUAUCCCCAUAGACCCCCUUUAUCCCCCCACAGACCCCCUUUAUCCCCCACAGACCCCCUUUAUCCCCCACAGACCCUUUAUCCCCCCAUAGACCCCCUAUUAUCCCCCAUAGACCCCCUUUUAUCCCCCCAUAGACCCCCUUUAUCCCCCAUAGACCCCUUUAACCCCCCAUAGACCCCCUUUAUCCCCCCAUAGACCCCCUUAUCCCCCAGACCCUUUAGCCCCCAUAGACCCCUUUAGCCCCCCACAGACCCCUUUUAGCCCCCCAUAGACCCCUUUACCCCCCACAGACCCCCUUUAUCCCCCACCAGACCCCUUAUCCCCCCACAGACCCUUUAUCCCCCAGUAGACCCCCCUUACCCCCAUAGACCCCUUAUUCCCCCCAUAGGCCCCUUUAUCCCCCCACAGACCCCUUUAUCCCCCCAUAGACCCCCUUUAUCCCCCCAUAGACCCCUUUAGCCCCCAUAGACCCCCCUUUAUUCCCCAUUAGACCCCCUUUAUCCCCAUACACCCCCUUUACCCCCCACAGACCCCUUAUCCCCCCCCCGACCCCCUUUACCCCCACAGACCCCCUAUCCCAUAGACCCCUUUAUC